GAGGGGCGGCACAAUGCGCCCCUUCACCUGCAUCUUCCUCUUCCUCUGUUUCCCUCCGGUGGCUACCUGUUUUGCGUGAGCAUCGUGGUUGAGUGGCGUGGCCGUUGCGGGUGCACGAUCCUCUUCAUUCAGGGCGACCGGCUCCCGAGGCCGUGGGGGACGCAUCGCUUCACAGGGGACCCUUCCUGGGUGGUGCUGUGGCCCUGAGGCAGCAGUCCAGUCCCUGAUGGUGGUUUCCUUCACGAUUUCCUUUCUUUGCAGUUGCAGUGUCACGGCUGUUUAAUUAAUGGACCUUUCUACUUUUGGUUUGUCCCUGCCGCCUGAGUGGGGCGUAAUCUUCUGGUUUUUUGCCUGACCGGCUCUACUGCGUGGUUGAAUCCCAUUGCCUCAUUCAACUCCAGCCCAAGACUGCAGUAUAUGAAAAUCGGCACAUUCAUCCACUCUGUGCCAGAUUGUACGGUCCAGCUCCUGGUAGUUGUGUCAAGCAUGAUGUGCCAAGCUAAACUUCCUGUACUCAAACAGAGAUUGGAUGGGGUGCUCUGAAGCGUGUUUGACACUGGAGAAAGGCUCAUUCCGAGUGGACAUGUGCUGGUUUCACAUGAGGUGCUGCUGCCUAUCUACAAGGUCAGGCAUUAGCACCAGUUUAUGGCUCUGCCAAACUGCAAACUCAAAGACUCCAAAGCCAGGAGAAACUGAGGACCCUGAGCAGAUGGAAUGGUAGAGGACAAAGACAACAAAGCAUCUCAUAGCGGAUUCACUAUUAAUAACACACUUUAUUGGUAAUUUAUAUGUUGUUUGCCCAUUGCACUUACCAGGCUAACACAUGCAGUUGCAUUAUUGAAUCAGUUUACAAAAACAGUACUAGCAUAUUUACCACCAAGUAUUUUUUUAAAGUAUGAUUUCCGACAGAGGUCAAAACAGGCUUCCAUUUUCCCAUGUGAAAUGACAUGGUCAGGAACAAAUUCAUUAGCUUGAGCUAGCUGCUAAUGCCUGUUGUUUCUGGCUGAACACUAUAAAAGCCAGGUUCUUAAAAUAAGAGCUUGAAGGCUGCAUGGGCCUACAUAAUAUUGUGCUAAGAUGAGGUUAAAGAUACAUGUACCAGGCAUUCUAGUGAGUUAUACUCUGAUAGUAACAUUUAGCCAAUAAUUAUCUACUGCUCUACUGCAGUAGUUGCGGUAGUUAACAAAGCAAUCCAUUCCUUACUCUUUUGCUCUUGUUUUUGGAAAGGAUCAAAAAAUGAACAUACACAAACACAUUUCAUUGCUUCAGGUUGAUUAAGAUGUUGCUUAACUGUGUUAAUUCCACUUAAUUUGAAGUUAAACUACUAUAGUUUGUGCUACCAGCAAAGUGAUAACAGGACAUUAAUAUUUAAUGAUGACAAAAUGAAAAAGUUGUGGUCACCUGCCCCCUGUUCUCCCAGCGCUCUAAAUGUCUUUUAUUAUCUGUGCGAAUUAGAAAGAAUUGCCAAGAUAGCCGUUGUGUGUAAUAUUGUUUAUUUGAUGCAUUACUAGUCUAAAACACAACAUGCGGAUCCAUUAAAGCCUAUGAAUGAAA